GACGAACGCUGGCGGCGUGCUUAACUCAUGCAAGUCGAACGGAAAGGCCCUGCUUUUGUGGGGUGCUCGAGUGGCGAACGGGUGAGUAACACGUGAGUAACCUGCCCUUGACUUUGGGAUAACUUCAGGAAACUGGGGCUAAUACCGGAUAGGAGCUCCUGCUGCAUGGUGGGGGUUGGAAAGUUUCGGCGGUUGGGGAUGGACUCGCGGCUUAUCAGCUUGUUGGUGGGGUAGUGGCUUACCAAGGCUUUGACGGGUAGCCGGCCUGAGAGGGUGACCGGCCACAUUGGGACUGAGAUACGGCCCAGACUCCUACGGGAGGCAGCAGUGGGGAAUAUUGCACAAUGGGCGGAAGCCUGAUGCAGCAACGCCGCGUGCGGGAUGACGGCCUUCGGGUUGUAAACCGCGUUCGCCUGUGACGAAGCGUGAGUGACGGUAAUGGGUAAAGAAGCACCGGCUAACUACGUG
rnacentral:rRNA from 1 species